CUGCCAUGGCCACAGGCACCCUGCAUCACCACCAGGAUGAUGUUCUCCUCAUCUUCCUCCUUGUCCUCAUCCUCGUCCUCCUCUUCCUCCACCACUUCGUGCCCUGAAUCCGGGGAGCAUUGCAGCCCAUCUCUUGUAGGGGCCCAUGAAAAUAAGACUUUCUCCUCCUGAGCUCGUGUUUUCUUUUGCUGUGUUUGUUUCUGUGGUCAGAAAAGCUCGUUUAUACAUUUCCCCUGAUUCAUAUUGCCAGACCACGGGCUGGAGGGGCCUGCAAGGAGCAGAGCACCUGGAGCACAGCAGGGAAGUCGUCCUGCGGAGCCCAGCCCCUGCUGGAGCUCACUGGGGCUUCCUCGAGGGCAGCCGCUUGAAUAACCCCCCCUGGAUGAGAUCUCGAAGUGUUUCCUUAGGAACCCGGGCCACAAAGCGAUGUGCAAUGAACGGAGCCGGCUGGAAACAGAAAUCACUGCAAAUCAGAAUUUCUGGAACGAUUUCCUGUGCCUCCCCUGAGAGCUCACCUGAUGGGAGCAGCCUGUUCAAACAACCCCGUCGUCAUUUUUGAAGAAAGUGCGGAUUUAACACGAUUCACUUCAGUAAAAAACUUGACUUAGUGCCGUGGGACUUUUUGACUUGAAAACUUAGCAGCGUACAGUGCUAAUAGAGAGCUACUAAUGGACUCCAAAAGCUAACUGAUGAAUUCAAAUGCAUUUGUCAACAGUUUUUUUUCUUUUUUCUUUUUCUUUAUUCUUUUUCUGAAAGCCUUCCUGAAAGACCUCAGCAGUGCUGGUGGCGUUUAGCAGCUCCCUUGGUGGUCUCAGAACCUGCACAAAGCCACAGACGCUGAAGAUUCGUAGGAGACACAGUUAAAAUCACAGACUGGGGGGCACAGAUGGGCGAGGAAUCCCCAGGCACGUGUGCGAGGUGGUGGUGUAGGGACCCCCCCGGGUGUGCGAGGUGGGGGUUUUGGUGACGUGGGGACAGGGCAGCAGCUGUGGGGCUGUGUUGCUGCAUCCAACAGGGGUGAGAGCAGCGCUGGGAAAUGGCACCAGAAUUGUGAAUUUUAAGCGGUUAUUAAAACACCUGUCAGGAUUCGGGAAAGAAACAUGAAAGUUUUCUGAGGUUUGGAGAAAAUGCCUUCCUUUGAUCCUUCUAAGUCUUACAACCUCGUCAGAGCCGGGAGCUGAGCGGUGAUUUGUGACAGCGCCCAAACACCCUGCUGGGGAGAAAACGUGGCUCAGGUCCAUGCGGCGUGGGGGA
rnacentral:lncRNA from 1 species